GACGAACGCUGGCGGCGUGCUUAACACAUGCAAGUCGAGCGGUAAGGCCCUUUCGGGGGUACACGAGCGGCGAACGGGUGAGUAACACGUGGGUGACCUGCCCUUACGCUCUGGGAUAAGCCUGGGAAACUGGGUCUAAUACCGGAUAUGACUCCAUGACGCAUGUUGUGGGGUGAAAGCCUUGUGCGGCUAGGGAUGGGCCCGCGGCCUAUCA
rnacentral:rRNA from 1 species